GUAGNNNNNNNAGCGUUGUCCGGAUUUAUUGGGCGUAAAGAGCUCGUAGGCGGUUUGGCAAGUCGGGUGUGAAAACUCCGGGCUCAACUCGGAGACGCCACUCGAUACUGCCAUGACUCGAGUCCGGUAGGGGAGUGCGGAAUUCCUGGUGUAGCGGUGAAAUGCGCAGAUAUCAGGAGGAACACCGGUGGCGAAGGCGGCACUCUGGGCCGGUACUGACGCUGAGGAGCGAAAGCGUGGGGAGCGAACAGGAUUAGAUACCCUGGUAGUCCACGCCGUAAACGUUGGGCACUAGGUGUGGGGCUCGAUCGACGGGCUCCGUGCCGUAGCUAACGCAUUAAGUGCCCCGCCUGGGAAGUACGGCCGCAAGGCUA
rnacentral:rRNA from 1 species